UGGUGCCCAGCGUGGGGGCUCCUGGCACAGGGGAGUCAACGAGGGAGCCAUUCGAGAACGCCGGCUAAAAGUGGAAACAAAUUGAAUCAAGGACCGAGGCCUGCGCGGACGACUGCCCAACGUGCCGCCUGAGUCACGGUGAGUGAACAUGAACCCCAUUCCCUUUCCCGGACAUGGGUCAAGCAUUGAGCAAACAUGAAUUGUUCAUGGGAGGCCUGAGCAAGGCAUUAAAGAUAAGGGGGGUAAGGGUUAGAACAAAAGAAUUGUUGCAGUAUUUUCUUUUUUUUUUUUAAUUUAA
rfam:Cavia porcellus supercont2_26 genomic scaffold, whole genome shotgun sequence.